AAUCAACGCUGGCGGCGUGCCUAACACAUGCAAGUCGAACGCGAAAGGGGGCUUCGGCUCCUAAGUAGAGUGGCGUCCGGGUGAGUAACACGUAGGUAAUCUGCCUUCGGGUGGGGAAUAACCAGUCGAAAGAUUGGCUAAUACCGCAUAAUGCAGCGGCACCUAAUGGUGAUUAGUUGUUAAAGCGGGGGAGUCGUAAGACCUCGCGCCUGAAGAGGAGCCUGCGGCAGAUUAGCUAGUUGGUGAGGUAAUGGCUCACCAAGGCUUCGAUCUGUAGCUGGUCUGAGAGGACGGCCAGCCACACUGGCACUGACACACGGGCCAGACUCCUACGGGAGGCAGCAGUGGGGAAUUUUGGGCAAUGGGCGAAAGCCUGACCCAGCAACGCCGCGUGAGGGAGGAAAUCCUUCGGGAUGUAAACCUCACAAG
rnacentral:rRNA from 1 species